UACGUAGGGGGCAAGCGUUGUCCGGAAUCAUUGGGCGUAAAGCGCGUGUAGGCGGCUUGGUAAGUCCGCUCUGAAAGCCCGGGGCUCAACCCCGGGAGGCGGGUGGAUACUGUCAAGCUCGAGUCCGGAAGAGGCGAGUGGAAUUCCUGGUGUAGCGGUGAAAUGCGUAGAUAUCUGGAGGAACACCGGUGGCGAAGGCGGCAUUCUGGACCGAUAUUGACGCUGAGGAGCGAAAGCCAGGGGAGCAAACGGG
rnacentral:rRNA from 1 species